AUGACUAGUACUGAUGUUCUCUUGAAGUUUUACCCAGAAUUUCAUUCUCGAUACAAUGGAGAAGAUUUCAAUGUUGAAUUUACAUUUCGAAGGAUUCCAAUACGUAGAUCUCACCAAGCAGUGUCAUUAGCUGUUCAACAUUUAACAUCCAAUGUGUUGUUCCCCAAUCAGGUC
rnacentral:sRNA from 1 species